ensembl:lncRNA
GGUUCCUUGAAGAGGGUCCUUAAACAGCUGGAAGAAGAGAAGAAAAGUCUCCAGAAUCAGCUAAAAGACUAUGAACUUAGACUGGAACCUUAGAAGAAGCAAAGGCUUACCACAAAGUUAAUGAUGAGCGGCUCACGGACCUCUCAGAGAUCUUACAGCAGUGAAACUGCGAACUUCUGGAGGAAGAAAGAAAAUAAAAGCAGAUUUUAUUACUGAACAUGCUAGCGAGAGAAGUGCCUAUGUUCAGCUCCCUGUAAAAACACUUAAAUAUUUGUAAAACACCAUUUGAAGUGGAGUAUAUGCAGUGGCAUGUUGCAUAGUGAGGCAUUGGGGUCUAGGAUUUUGCCAUCAACACUCAAGGUCUCAGCUAAACUUAAAAUUAUUGAAAGGCAACAAAAAGAUGCUGUGACUGGCAAAGGAGAAAAACGGAUACUGAGUAAUGAACAGGAAGAGAAACAAAGGGAUGUUGCACAGGAGCAGAGAGGCAGGCUUCUUGGUCAGGAGAAUGACCCUUCCAGCUUGGGGAAUCACCAUUCUUUUCCUGGAGAUUUUUUUUACAUUCCCAGUGAUUUCUUAGAAGAUCAAGAUGGAGCUCUAGCUGGUUUCAUGUAGAUGGUAGGAAGACACAGUGUUCCAGGAAACCCGAAGAUGGUUUAUCCUCAAAAAUGAUCAAUUAAAACUACGGUAGGAGUGAACCAGCUUUCACAACUAAAGCAUUGAAGUAAUAUUAAUGUCAAGAACUUCCAGUCACUUUUUAAAAAAUUUAAUUUGACUGAAAUUUUCUAAAUUGAAAAUGAAAGUAUUUGUGUCUUAUUGCAAUGCCAGACACAGAUUGGAAUGUCUUCUUGGCUGCCUUAGUGUAACUGUUCCUCUGCCUAAUGGAAUUUCUCUUCUAGUUGCCAUCUUUGUACUGGUGAUCUCUGACCCUUUCCAUUCUGCUUCAUAUCAGUGAUUCUGAGUGUGAGGGUGUUGGAAGUCAUAGAGAAUAUUUAAUGUCUUUAUACACUGUGUAGAUCCUUGAACUAUACAGCCAUGGAAAACAAACAAGCCUCUAGCAUGUUUGACCUCUCAGCCAAGAAGAAAAAGGCAGGCUGAUGCAACCUGAACUAUUGUCUAAAUAUAACUUUAUUUAAAAGCUUUAUUGCCACAGAUCCUGUGUUGACUACCACUUUCUGUCUGCAUGGUUUGGAAGCAAAGCACCAUUUCCAGCUGCUUUAAUCACUGGUAAUGGAUGGAAAUGACAAAAAAUUGAGCACUUUUUAUUAAGGAAUCUUCAAAGCCUAUCUUGUGUUCAUCAAGUGUUGUUUCUUUUAAACACUAUAUAUGAAAAAACACAUAUCCUGAUAUUAGUAUGUUGCUCUUUGAAAUUUGAACUCUCAGAUGAACCCUUGUAUCCACAGUCUCGGGGUCAUAAAAAUCUCUGUCUUCUUCUGUGGCACUGAUCCUUGUACUUUCAGGGUCCACAGUAGUGCCAGUUCUAAAAGUCAUCUCUUCAGUGAAAGUAGAACUCCUUUGUCUUUUUGUUCUUAAGCAUGCAAUUAUUGAUGUGGUUUUAUUACCUACAUUUUAGUCAUUAAAUAUGGCAAAAUUUUUUCAAGUGGCAAUGGGAAAAUGUUUUGGUAAUGAAGCCUCAGUCCUCUGGGUUACAUCUUAAAAGCUCUUGGCAGAGCAAAUGUGGUUGCUUGACUGCUCUUUAUUAUUUUAAGAGCAUUCCUAACUCUUUGCAAUAAAGUUUUUUUGCCUCUUUUAAGAGCA